UAACCAUGGUGAGGGCUCCUUCUCAGUAAGUUCUUGUAUCUCUCCCAUGCAUCGUAAAGUGUUACUAAAUCCAUCUGCACAAAAGAAGAGAUAUCAUUAGUAACUUA
rfam:Gossypium hirsutum cultivar TM-1 chromosome 21, whole genome shotgun sequence